rnacentral:misc_RNA from 1 species
AACCUUGUUUGUGACGAUGGAGAAAACACUUCGCUUGCUUGAAAUGGGCUUCUCUGAGAAUGAGGUUUCUUUGGCAAUUGAAAAGUUUGGUUCGGAAACUCCAGUUGCGGAGCUUGCCGAUUCCAUUGUUACAGGUCGAAUUGCUGGUGACUACCCUGGGAAUGUUAAGUGUUCCCCAAACUCGUUUGGCAUUGGUGGCUUACAUACUUCAG